rnacentral:rRNA from 1 species
AUUGAACGCUGGCGGCAGGCCUAACACAUGCAAGUCGAGCGGAUGAAGGGAGCUUGCUCCUGGAUUCAGCGGCGGACGGGUGAGUAAUGCCUAGGAAUCUGCCCGGUAGUGGGGGAUAACGUCCGGAAACGGGCGCUAAUACCGCAUACGUCCUGAGGGAGAAAGUGGGGGAUCUUCGGACCUCACGCUAUCAGAUGAGCCUAGGUCGGAUUAGCUAGUUGGUGGGGUAAAGGCCUACCAAGGCGACGAUCCGUAACUGGUCUGAGAGGAUGAUCAGUCACACUGGAACUGAGACACGGUCCAGACUCCUACGGGAGGCAGCAGUGGGGAAUAUUGGACAAUGGGCGAAAGCCUGAUCCAGCCAUGCCGCGUGUGUGAAGGAGGUCUUCGGAUUGUAAAGCACUUUAAGUUGGGAGGAAGGGCAGUAAGUUAAUACCUUGCUGUUUUGACGUUACCAACAGAAUAAGCACCGGCUAACUUCGUG